AAUGGAGACUUUCAUAGGAUGCAAUGAUUAAUAUUCAACAUUAGUCAAAAUUUCUUCUAGUCCUACCCUUGGAGCUCUACUGGGUUGGAAAAUAUUUUCGGACAAGGACAAUCAUUUGAUGCUCACGUUCACAGUAAUCUGGCUGAUCAAGGAAGGGUUCAGAGUUGCCCAAUAAGAAGUCCUCCCAUGAGAUUUGGAAGUCCGAAAAGGAUGACUCAAUAUUCUCCAUUGGUACCUAAGACAGACACAGGGACAGACAUGAGGACUAGAGAAACACCUGAAAAGAUGCUGUAGGAAGCUGAGAGCAUCAGCACCCCCACCCCUAAGCUUCCAGACAGGACUGAGGACCAUAUGGUUAGAAAGCCCAUACUUCAGAGGAAGAUGCAUUCUGUUGCCUGAGGGAGGAUCAGAGAUUCCUGCUUCUAAUAUCAGCUUUCAUGACUACUAUAUCCUUGGCUUUGAAAGGUUGUAGUGGGAAACUUAAUCUUAGGAAUUUGGUCAUUCUUGUCAUACCCAACAGAGCAAAGAAACCAGUGGGGAAAGGCACUCAGGGUGCAAAAUAUUGUUUCUAGAAUGCAAUUGAAAUAGGCCCUAUUAUCCCAUGGAACUAAUGUUUAUGUUUUUUUGUAUAAACAUAGAAAUUGACUCCCCCAGUCUUAAAACUCAAGAUAGUUACAUCUGUCUUAUCUGAGUUUUUUUUUGUUUGUUUGUUUUUUCAGUAAACCAAUGAACAGGCCUCCCAGAUACUAUCAAGGAGCUGAAACUUACAUAUCACUGAAUCGGGACAGUGAGACAUCAGAACCUUCACCCAUUAUGAUUGCCUCACUGACCUCCUGCUUCCUGUUGACCAAAUUAUCUUCCUUACCCCUCCCUAAUUCCUGUUUUCCCACAUUUCUUCCCUGCUAUAUAAACUCCUAAUUUCAGUUGGUCAGGGAGAUACAUUUGAGAAUGGUAUCACAUCUCCUAGGCUGCAGCACCUGAUUAAAGCCUGUUCCUUGGCAAUGCUUGUUGUCUUAGUGAUUGGCUUUCUGUGGGGUAAGCUGCAGAGUCUUCACUGAAUCCCUGGCAUUUCAGUAACAAAAUUCUCUGCAACCUUCACUGCUUUGGCUUAUUGUAACCUGAAAUCAAAUUUGUCCACAACUUCUGAGAUAACUUGAUAUAAUUCUAGGAUUCAUUUUGUCCACCACUGCUUACCAGUCUGAGCUUGCCAGCUCCCAACCCUUCCUAGUGCCAAUGAACUUUCUCAAAGAGCCACAGGUAACAUUUUCCCUUUUUCAUAAAAUGCUAAUUUUCUCUUCGUUCUUCCAAUAUCUUGAAGACCACUGAGUUUUCCUGUAUGCCCCACCUGGCAAAUAUUUCUUUGCAAAUAAAACUUAAAUUUAGAGAUUCAUCUCUACAUUUUAUUUUGACUUUAGUAGUUUACUUUAAUUCUCUGUAUUAAGACAAUUCCUGCUUAGAAUAUCUAUAGUGGCUUCUUCUGUGUUAUAUGAAUUCAAGCUGAAGCCAUAAACUAGACUCCUCAAGUGUCAUGAUCUCUGUAUUUAUCAAAUCAGGAGAUGCAUUGCUAUGUCUGUGCAGUUGGGGCUGAGAAAGAGAAAAGAAUUAGGGUGCAGAGGCGAUUUCACGUACCCCUCUACCAACACCAUCAGAGUGUGGCUGCAUCUGAGCAACACUCUCAGCCAAUGGAGGCAUCAGGAGGAGCAGCUGGGGCAGCCCAGCUUCACACAUCUGCUUCCCUGGGGGUUUAUGUUCGGGUUGGUAACACUGUGGGAGGGAAACUGUUAGCCUGUUGACAAUAGUAAGUUGCAAAAUCUUCAGGCUGCAGGCUGCUGAUGGUGAGAGUGAAAUCUGUCCCAGAUCCACUGCCG
rnacentral:lncRNA from 1 species